rnacentral:rRNA from 1 species
UGGGGAAUCUUGGACAAUGGGGGCAACCCUGAUCCAGCCAUGCCGCGUGAGUGAUGAAGGCCUUAGGGUCGUAAAGCUCUUUCGCCUGUGAAGAUAAUGACGGUAGCAGGUAAAGAAACCCCGGCUAACUCCGUGCCAGCAGCCGCGGUAAUACGGAGGGGGUUAGCGUUGUUCGGAAUUACUGGGCGUAAAGCGCACGUAGGCGGACCAGAAAGUUGGGGGGUGAAAUCCCGGGGGCUCAACCCCGGAACUGCCUCCAAAACUAUUGGUCUAGAGUUCGAGAGAGGUGAGUGGAAUUCCAAGUGUAGAGGUGAAAAUUCGUAGAUAAUUUGGAGGAACACCAGUGGCGAAAGGCGGCUCACUGGCUCGAUACUGACGCUGAGGUGCGAAAAGUGUGGGGGAGCAAAACAGGAUUUAGAUACCCCUGGUAGUCCACACCGUAAAACGAUGAAUGCCAGUCGUCGGGUAGCAUGCUAUUCGGUGACACACCUAACGGAUUAAGCACUCCGCCUGGGGGAGUACGG